rnacentral:rRNA from 1 species
UACGUAGGGUGCGAGCGUUGCCCGGAAUUACUGGGCGUAAAGAGCUCGUAGGUGGUUUGUCGCGUUGUCCGUGAAAACUCACAACUCAAUUGUGGGCGUGCGGGCGAUACGGGCAGACUGGAGUACUGCAGGGGAGACUGGAAUUCCUGGUGUAGCGGUGAAAUGCGUAGAGAUCGGUGGAACACCAGUGGCGAAGGCGGGUUGCUGGGCUGACACUGACGCUGAGGCGCGAAAGCCAGGGGAGCGAACGGG